UUCAUUAACGUAAGAGAGGAAUACAUCAGGCUUGAGAGACCGUAUCCCUUACACAGAAACCCUGGUGGGACAACGAUUCCCUCGCAAUACAAUGAGCGAUCGUGUUGCCCUCUCUUCUGACCCAACUGACGGAGAUAUCUGGCCGGUCGACUAAGAGCUUCCUGCAAUCAUCAACAAUAAACCCAUACUCUGAGUUGUCUGUCGCUUAUGAUUCUAAUGCCUGCUUCACUAAUUGGGUAUCCACCUCCAGAAUACUAGGCCCACUGACAUUAGGAACGAGAUAUUGCAGUACUUACCGACAACCUAGUAACUCUGCUAAAAACAGCGUUCUGCACCUAUGCAAUCUGCCCCUGAUUGUUUUCAAGAUUAACCCAGCCGAAUUUCGGAUCACUGCCCCGAACCCAGCCACAGUCCCUAUCUCAAGACAGUCCCAUCAACAUUACAUUUCUAGAUUCCCGGUGCGGGAGCUUGCCAUGGCACAUGAGUGAGUGCGAAGACCGGUUUGUCCACGUUGCCUCUGUUACGUAUAUCCUUGGCCUGCCUCCAUUCAUACAGGAAUCUCCUCGACAAGUAAAUAGAGGUAGGAUCAACAAAAAUUCUGCCCGCCCACAGAAACUCAUUCCUUUCAAGUUCUAACCUCCACAUACAACAUAGCACUUCUGCCACUUCCUAUCAUGUCUUACUUUUAAGAUGUUGUUCCAGCCACCUUCUGACAUCUGGCACAUAAGGUGGCGCUACAUGAACACCUAACAGCCGCCAGCAGUUCACGGUUUUCCUGCACUCGAGGGAUAUAUGUUGGAUUGUUUCUGCUUGGCCACAUCUCGGUAAGCAGUCUCCAAACGAAAUUUCUCAUCUUUGGGGGAACAUCAGCCAACCAUAUCCGCUUCUAAAUGUUGACAGAUUCAGUGCAAGAGGAGGCAUGUGUACCUCGGAGGUGUUGGUGAGCAGACUUAACAGUGCAGCUUCCGUUCUUAGAAAAAGCCUAGAUCAGUUUCUCCUCUCUUCUGCGUAAGCUCGGUGGAAUGCCAAGGAUCAAUGCAGCUUCUUCUUCAACAAAUAGGCCCUUAACUAAAUCAGAGUUCCAACUUGUUGAAUCUUCAUUCAUAAGAUCGCAAAUCAACAGGUCAUCCAUUCCUUCUAUACACUGGCUGUUGACCCUGAACUCAAUACCUCACGGUAGCCACGGAUCUUCCCAAACUCUCACUUAUGGCCUGUCCCAAUAAUCCACCUUACACCGCUCGUCAUCAGGUCCUUAGCUUGACACAAACUUCUCUAUGUAAAACUGGGGUUGGUGUCCAACCUUGCAGUUGAAAAAUCCCCUCGAGAGAAAUAUUUGGCUUUAAGGCCCUGUUUGGAUAAUGAUGAAUGAUACGAUUUUAAUGUAUGGUACUCCACGAGUGUGAG
rnacentral:lncRNA from 1 species